CCUACGGGUGGCAGCAGUGAGGAAUAUUGGUCAAUGGACGAGAGUCUGAACCAGCCAAGUAGCGUGAAGGAUGACUGCCCUAUGGGUUGUAAACUUCUUUUAUAAAGGAAUAAAACGAGGCACGUGUGCCUUUUUGCAUGUACUUUAUGAAUAAGGCUCGGCUAACUCCGUUCCAGCAGCCGCGGUAAUACGGAGGAGACGAGCGUUACUCGGAUUUGUUUGGUUUAAAAGGAAGGUAGAUGGGUUGUUAAGUCAGUUGUUAAAGUUUGCGGCUUAACCGUAAAAUUGCAAUUGAUACUGGCAGUCUUGAGUACAGUUGAGGAAGGCGGAAUUCGUGGUGUAGCGGUGAAAUGCUUAGAUAUCACGAAGAACCCCGAUUGCGAAGGCAGCUUACUAAACUGUGACUGACAUUGAUGCUCGAAAGUGUGGGUAUCAAACAGGAUUAGAUACCCGUGUAGUC
rnacentral:rRNA from 1 species